rnacentral:rRNA from 1 species
GGGCGUAUGGUGGAUGCCUUGGCAUUAGAAGGCGAUGAAGGACGCGACAAACAGCGAUAUGCUUCGGGGAGUUGUAAGUAAACUUUGAUCCGGAGAUUUCCGAAUGAGGAAACUCACCCAUUAGGGUAUCCUAAAGUGAAUACAUAGCUUUAGUGAGGCUAACCCCGUGAACUGAAACAUCUUAGUAGCGGGAGGAAAAGAAAGAAAUAUCGAUUGCCUUAGUAGUGGCGAGCGAAACGGCAAUAGCCCAAACCAGUCUUUGGACUGGGGUUGUAGGACACCUAUAUACGGAGUUACAAAAUUUUAUGAUAGUAGAACAUUCUGGAAAGAAUGGCCAUAGAAAGUGAAAGCCUUGUAUACGAAAUCAUGAAAUCUCUAUGGUGUAUCCUGAGUACGGCGGGACACGUGAAAUCUUGUCGGAAUCUGCGGGGACCAUCCCGUAAGGCUAAAUACUCUCUAAUGACCGAUAGUGAACAAGUACCGUGAGGGAAAGGUGAAAAGAACCCCGGGAGGGGAGUGAAAUAGAGAUUCUGAAACCAUAUGCUUACAAAAAGUUCGAGCCCAUUAACGGGUGAGAGCGUGCCUUUUGCAGAAUGAGCCGGCGAGUUGUGGUAUUGUGCAAGGUUAAGUGGAAAACACGGAGCCGAAGCGAAAGCGAGUCUUAAUAGGGCGAUUUUAGUACAAUGCUGCAGACCCGAAACCGAGUGAUCUAGCCAUGAGCAGGCUGAAGUUGGGGUAAUACCUAAUGGAGGGCCGAACCAGGGUACUAUGUAACGUGCUUGGAUGACUUGUGGCUAGCGGUGAAAUUCCAAUCGAACUCGGAUAUAGCUGGUUCUCCCCGAAAUAGGUUUAGGCCUAGCCUUGAAUUAUUGCAUCCUGGAGGUAGAGCACUGAAUAUGGAAUGGCCGCGUCUAGCGGUACUGACUGUAAUCAACCUCCGAAUGCCAGGAAUGUAGAUUCAGGAGUCAGUGUAUGAGGUGAUAACGUCCAUACGCGAGAGGAAAACAAUCCAGACCAUCAACUAAGGUCCCUAAAUAUAUGUUAAGUGGGAAAGGAUGUGGAGCCGCACGAACAGCUAGGAGGUUGGCUUAGAAGCAGCCAUCCUUUAAAGAGUGCGUAAUAGCUCACUAGUCGAGUGACUCUGCGCCGAAAAUGUACCGGGGCUGAAACAUAUUACCGAAGUUAUGGAUUUAUAAUUUAUUAUAAAUGGUAGGGGAGCGUUCUAAGGGCGCUGAAGAUAGAUCGUGAGGACUAUUGGAGCGCUUAGAAGUGAGAAUGCCGGUGUGAGUAACGUAAGGAGGGUGAGAAUCCCUCCCACUGAUUGACCAAGGUUUCCAGGGUCAAGUUCGUCUUCCCUGGGUUAGUCAGGACCUAAGGCGAGGCUGAAAAGCGUAGUCGAUGGACAACAGGUUUAUAUUCCUGUACUAUUUAUAGGACUGAUGGAGUGACGGAGAAAGCUAGGAAGAGCCAGUUAUUGGAUUCUGGUCUAAGCGCUUAGGUUGAUACAUAGGAAAAUCCGUGAUAUCGCACAAACUGAAACGUGAUGGCGUCGUGACCUACGGGUCGCUAAGUCUUCUGAAGCUAUGCUUCCAAGAAAAACUUCUAAAGAUAUGCUAUAAAUACCUGUACCCAGAACCGACACAGGUGGUCAAGGAGAGAAUCCUAAGGUGAGCGAGAGAACUAUGGUUAAGGAACUCGGCAAAAUUACCCCGUAACUUAGGGAUAAGGGGAGGUCUCGUCACGAGACCCGCAGUGAAUAGGCCCAGGCGACUGUUUACCAAAAACACAGGUCUCUGCUAAAGCGUAAGCUGAUGUAUAGGGGCUGACGCCUGCCCAGUGCUGGAAGGUUAAGAUGAUUUGUUAGGUGGACGAAAGUCGAUAACACCAAAGCAUUGAUUUGAAGCCCCAGUGAACGGCGGCGAUAACUAUAAUCGUCCAAAGGUAGCGAAAUUCCUUGUCAGGUAAGUUCUGACCCGCACGAAAGGCGUAACGA